CUCUGAUAGAACAACAUGAAUAUAUGACCAAAAAAAUAUGAAGAAACUGGAUUUAUGUGGAGUGUAUAUUGUACUCCACACACCCCCUUUCUUUUGCACCCUCCCUCUCCUUGUGGGUUUGACAGAGUUUGAUUGUGUGGUGCUAAACCACGUAUGACUGGGUGUGUAGUUGGCAGAGUGUGAUUGGACACUAGCUGAGUGUGAGUGUGUGGGGUGUUUUACUAAGUGUGUGGAGUGUGUAAUUG